AGUCUGGUGCCAGCAGCCGCGGUAAUUCCAGCUCAAAUAGCGUAUGUUAAAGUUGUUGCGGUUAAAACGUUCGUAGUUGAUUUUGUGCUUCAUACGGGUAGUACAACAUAAAUUUGUAGUGAGUACUAUACUUUAUGUAUGUAAGCGUAUUAUCGGUGGAGUUCUUAUAUGUAAUUAAGUACUUGUAUUUUUUUAUAUAUUCCUCCUAUUUAAAAAUCUACAUUAGUGCUCUUAAUGGAGUGUUUUUGUGGGCCGGUACAAUUACUUUGAACAAAUUAGAGUGCUUAAAGCAGGCUUCAAAAGCCUGAAUAUUCUGUGCAUGGGAUAAUGAAAUAAGACCUCUGUUCUGCUUUCAUUGGUUUUCAGAUCAAGAGGUAAUGAUUAAUAGAAGCAGUUUGCUAGUAUUACGACGCGAGAGGUGAAAUUCUUGGACCGUCGUAAGACUAACUUAAGCGAAAGCAUUUGCCAAAGAUGUUUUCAUUAAUCAAGAACGAAAGUUAGAGGUUUGAAGGCGAUCAGAUACCGCCCUAGUUCUAACCAUAAACGAUGCCAGCUAGCAAUUGGGUGCAGCUACUUUUAUGGCUCUCUCAGUCGCUUCCCAAGAAACCAAAGUUUUUGGGCUCCGGGGAAAGUAUGGUUGCAAAGCUGAAACUUAAAGGAAUUGACGGAAGGGCACCACCAGGAGUGGAGCUUAAUUUGACUCAACACGGGAAAACUUACCAGCUCCGAACAUAAGUGUGUAAGACAGAUUGAUAGCUUCUUCUCGAAUCUAUGGGUGGUGGUGCAUGGCCGUUCUUAGUUCGUGGAGUGAUUUGUCUGGUUAGUUCCGAUAACGAACGAGAUUCAAAUAUAUUAAAUUGAUAUCUUCAGGAUUAUGGUGUUGAAGCUUAUAUUGCCUUCAUUCAUGGUGGCAGUAAAAUGUUUAUUGUGUUUGAAUGUGUUUAUAUAAGUGGAGCCGUACCUGUUAGUUUGUCCCAUUAUAGGGACACUAGCUUCUUAAAUGGACAAAUUGCGUCUAGCAAUAAUGAAAUGAGCAAUAACAGGUCUGUGAUGCCCUUAGAUGUCCUGGGCUGCACGCGCGCUACAAUGAAAGUAUCAACGUGUAUUUCCUAGACCGAAAAUACACGUAAACCGCUGAACCACUUUCAUGCUUGGGAUUGUGAACUGAAACUGUUCACAUGAACUUAGAAUUCCUAGUAAGUGUGAGUCAUUAACUCGCAUUGAUUACGUCCCUGCCCUUUGUGCACACCGCCCGUCACUACUACCGAUUGAAUUAUUUAGU
rnacentral:rRNA from 1 species